rnacentral:rRNA from 1 species
GGGAACAACAGCUGGAAACGGCUGCUAAUACCCCAUAGGCUGAGGAGCAAAAGGAGGAAUCCGCCCAAGGACGGGCUCGCGUCUGAUUAGUUAGUUGGUGAGGCAAUGGCUUACCAAGGCGACGAUCAGUAGCUGGUCCGAGAGGAUGAUCAGCCACACUGGGACUGAGACACGGCCCAGACUCCUACGGGAGGCAGCAGUGGGGAAUUUUCCGCAAUGGAGGAAAGCCUGACGGAGCAAUGCCGCGUGAAGGCAGAUGGCCCACGGGUC